CGCGCACACAGAACGGGACUGAUGCAAUCACUCUGGAGAGCCAAAUCCCAUCUGCAAGGGGUCAGAGAAGCACGGCUGUACCCUGGAAACUCAAUAGGAGGUACAGGAGCAGCUGGCCACCAACAGGCCCCAGAAAGGAGAACACACCUGGUUCCUGCAGCAGCCCCUGCAAAUGGGACCUCCUGGACUGCUAAAGAGAAGCACUUCUCAGGACACAACCUCUGCUGCACGUUCCCUGGACCUGGAUAUGCUACUACGACAUCCCUACUGCUUAGUGAGCACUCCAGGUAUCACCAGCACCAGCCACCACCCAAAUGUCAUAAGAUUUGCUUUAAAAAUCUCUUUAUACCUGCUUAA